rnacentral:rRNA from 1 species
CGGGGGGAGCAAGCGUUGUUCGGAUUUACUGGGCGUAAAGGGCGCGUAGGCGGCCACCGCAAGUCGGUUGUGAAAUCUCCGGGCUUAACCCGGAAAGGUCAACCGAUACUGCGGGGCUAGAGUGCAGAAGGGGCAACUGGAAUUCUCGGUGUAGCGGUGAAAUGCGUAGAUAUCGAGAGGAACACCUGCGGCGAAGGCGGGUUGCUGGGCUGACACUGACGCUGAGGCGCGAAAGCUAGGGGAGCGAACGGGAUUAGAUACCCCGGUAGUCCUGGCCUUAAACGAUGGAUGCUUGGUGUCUGGGGUUUUAUAGUCCCCGGGUGCCGUCGCUAACGCUUUAAGCAUCCCGCCUGGGGAGUACGGUCGCAAGACUG